UGGAACCAGCCGAACUGCAAUGAGCAUCACUGCAGCAGCAAAAGGCAGUGAAGAGAGGAGCCUUAUUCUUUCCAGUACACACACACACGCACACGCACACGCACGCACUCACGCCCUGAAUGCUUGCUUUUCUUUUUCACAAACCAGAACCUAAUGUUUUUCAUGUCUUACACAGGGGGCUAAGGGAAUGUAUUCUAGCGAAUUAUACCUGAAAUACUGCAAGAUUUGAAAAUUUUCUACAGAAAGUGUAUUCUGAUUAAAAACAAACCUCAAUACAUAUCUGUUUAUCCCCCUUCCAUGUGUAUCCGCUUAGGGUUUAUUCCUCCCUUUUCUGACUUCCCCACCCUCAAAAAGGUAAGCAUAAUGCCAGGCAAAAGCUAAGAUUGGGCUCUUUUAACCCGUAAUCGCUGUCGUCUCUACACUUUGUUUAUGAAACGGAAUAAGAAUGGAGAGAGACUUAAUUUAACAGCACAACCAGGCUGUAUAAAUACAAUAUUCAUUUUUUAAAAGCGAAGUGGAUUUGGUUUACUCUGAAGAACAGUAAUUCAAACAGCACCUAUCUGCUCCAGAUAGAGUAGCUAUGCACAUCUAUACAGGCAAGUUUGAAAUUUAGAACAAGGCUUUGAUUUAUUCCCUUUCUAUCAGUGAUUAAUGCCCCUUAAUUAGCUAAUCUCAAAGCCAUUAUUUACAACUAGGGCAGACAAAGGGAAAACUGAUGAUCCAACACUUAUGUCAGUUUGAAAUUUUGAAACAACAAAAAGUGCUUUAUUCAGAGUGGAAUUCUGAGUCUCUUAGAUGAAUCUCAAAAUAACAAAGAAACUCAAAGAAAAAAAUAAAACAAAAAUAAAACAAAAUAAAUGGGAACAAAUAAAACUCCAUCUCCCAAACAAUCCCAACCGCCACUCCUUUUUCGCAGAAAUUGCUGCCUGGCACAAUUUGAAAUGUGGCUAUUUAAAGGGAAAAGGAAUAUAUCUUCUCUUCAUUCCAUCUAAAAUCUAUAAGUUUUCAAUUUUAGCAUAAGAGGAGAAAGCGUUUAUAGCUGAGUUUUUCCAAGUUGCUUAAAAGGAAAGGGCUUUGGGAUUUGAAAAAUCAGUUUUCUCUUUGUACUUUUCCAAGGCGGGGAUUUGAAGCUGGGCACUAGAUUUGCUUCUCAAGAUCCGGUGCCUUAAACGUUGGGGAAGGGGCUGCGGGGGAGUGUGGGGAGAGGAGGUUUGUAAGGCGCCCUUUAACGCGGACCUGGCCUAGGGUCCUGAGGAAUUCCUCUUUGAACUCUGCUCCCUAAAGCACCGCCCUCGCAGCAGCUCAAAUUCAAGUGACCCUAAAAACUCGUUUCUGGACAGAACUGCAGGUCUUCGGGGUCUUUCUUGGUAGGAAACCAUUCAGACCGGGUAUCCUGGUGGCUGUCGGGGGGUUCUUGAAGGUUCCAGGGAGUCUCCUCAGGAAAAGGAGAGCGCAGGCCUUGGUUGCCUGAUGUUGCAGAGGAGCCUCAGGCAGUCGCUAGAAGUUCCAAUCCAAUCGUGAGCUUUCCUCUGGGAGGGACAGGAUCCCCUUCAACUCCUGAGGCUGCUCCUCUGGGCGAAUCCCACAGUAAUUGCGCAUUUCUCUCCCUUUAGUGCUUUGGAAAUUUAGAAAGCGCGCUUUCAUUUGUACAUCGCCUGCCGACAGCCCCUUUGCUGAUUAGAGAAGCCUUGUUCCCCCUCUCCACGCGUACGCACACUCAUUUUUAGUUUUAACAAAUGAUUUAAAAAUCAAAACAAACCUCUGAGUCAGUCCGCCCAAUUUUAUGCUCCAUCUCCUCUGUGUAUGUGUUAGAUUCUCUCUGCCAAUCGAUGGGAAAGAGCAUUUAGGGGCAUUUGCAAUUUCCUUUGUCACUUGCCACUCUGUGCGUAUAGAUUUUACAUAUCAUUUGUUUACCAAAUCAGUUCGUAUUUUCUUAGCCCAGGGUUCAGGAUUUUGCGUUUGUGGAUUAAUUGCCCAGUACCCAAAGGGCAGGACAGUCAGAGGAGCCACCUGAUGCAAGAAGGAUCAGCUCACGUUAGGACAAAACAAGGAGGUUGUUGUGAGCCCUUCUGCGGGCUCUGAAUUAACUCAAACAGCCCUUCCUAGGACUUGUUAAAAAGACCGUACCUUGAAGGGAUAGUGUGGUGCCUAAUGUCUGCUAGCCUAUAACUCAAUGCAUUACAAGGUCAUUUUUGCCCAGCCCAAAGAAACUGAGUAAAUCCAAUGUCCCUGGUUGAAGAUAAUACGUAGUCACUUCAUUUCUGGCCAUAUGGUGCCUACCUGCAUUCUAGUCUUGAACAGUCUCAGGUUCCUUACUGGGUCUCACUUAUUGAUUUUUUUACUAGAUUACAUCAUAAUUUAAUAUGGCUGAGUGAUGUGGAGCUUGUGGAUGAUCCUUUUAUUGCCCUGAUUAAAAUCCACACAGUAAGAAAUUUUUUAAACGGAGGUUGAUGAUGGAAGCUUCCUCAAUAAGUAUCCUUCAGUCAAGAAAUGAUUGAGCUUUAAAUUAUAAGAAUCUCAAAAUUACUGUGCAAGUGUUUGGCAAUCAAUUUCAGGUUUUCAUGACAACAGGAGCCUAGGCCAUAGGAUGGCAAACUAAAUUCAAUGAUCACUUGUCUGCUUCUGCAGAUAAUCUUAAAGGAAGCUUCAUUACAAUUCACCCAUCAAACAACUGGCAUCUCAAAAUGCAUCAAGAGCUUUGUCUAUGUAAGCAGACAGCACAUUCUAUGGCAUUUGAAUUUUAUAAAAAUAACUAGUUAAAAGAUAUAUUUUGAGGUCAGGCUUAAUUUUUGUUUGGACCAAUUUGCCUUAUCAUUUAUAAAGGUAUCCUUAGAUGUAUGUCGUUACACCAAGCUUUCAGCUGUCUCUAAGGACACAUUAAGGUGAGGUGGUGCUGCUGUCUAAGAUUCUAAGGACAGCAUUCAUGGGUAAACAACAGACAAGUCCUGUGCCCUUACCAUUACUUCAGAGCACAGCAGUUCCACUGGAUUCAAGGUGGCUUCUUCCUACUCUUGUCUUCAUUAUUGAACAUAAUUUGAUCUUAUUUAAGAUGAUAAUAAGUUCCCUGACAGUCAGAGCAUGCUGGUCAGAGCAAUGUCUCUUUCUUGUGAAUGAAAGGACAAUUAAUAGGAAACUCUGUUGGUCUUCUAUAUCGUCUUUGUUAGGAUGUGGGCAGAGUGAGUCAAUAAAUAGAAUUUGAAAUAAGCAACACAUAUUUGCCCUCCAAAUCUUAAGCUAUAAUUCAAUAUCUAAUGGAUUUGAGGAAAGAAAAAAGAGGUACCUGGUCUUCUGAGCUGAUAGAGGGUUAGAUUAUAACCUGAUUGAAGGACUGGCAAAAAGAGUAAUAGACACAAUUGAUGGUGUAUUUUCAUUCAACCACCAGCUAGGCAGAAGAGAUGUGGACCAAGGAAAUUCCACCUCAACUUUCUUUAUUCUGAUUCCAUGUUCACCAAGAAACUUUCUGAUUAUAAUUGAAAUUGCUGUUUAUAUCUGCUAAGUAAUGGGAAUGUAUUUAGGUCUCUGAGAUCUUUUUUGUGUAUAUAUAUAUAUAUAUAUAUAUAUAUAUAUAUAUAUACACACACACACACACACACAUAUAUACAUACAUGUAAACACACAAAACGUUUUAAUCAAUGGAUUCUGGUCUUAAUCACUGUGGUUAAAGUGAUUUUGCUCUGAGAGACAGUUUGCUAAGAAGUCAGGUUUCCGGCUAGGUGUGGUGGCUCACACCUGUAAUCCCAACACUUUGGGAGACUGAGGCUGGUGGAUCACCUGAGGUCAGGAGUUCAAGACCAGCCUGCCCAACAUGGUGAAACCCCAUCUCUACUAAAAAUACAAAAAGUUAGCCAGGCGUGGUGGCAGGCGCCUGUAAUCCCAGCUACUUGGGAGACUGAGGCAGGAGAAUCGUUUGAACCCGCGAGGCGGAGGUUGCAUUGAGCCGAGAUCCCACCAUUGCACUCCAGCCUGGGUGACAAGAGCGAAACUCCAUCUCAAAAUAAAUAAAUAAAUAAAUAAAUAAAUAAAUAAAUAAAUAAAUAAAUAAAAUAAAAGUCAGGUUUCCAAGCCUGUGAGAUCUAGAAUUAGGCAUGGCAGACUAUGAGGAGCUUUCCCAGAAAGAUACCCAACCAACGUUUCAGGAAUGGCCAAUUACAUCUUCCUAGUAGAAAUACCACCUUAUUGGCCAUCUGCCCAUACUUCAACAGACAGCAACUUUGCCACUGUAUUUUCAGUCCUUAAACUUAGAAGUGUUUGAGAAUUAUUAUUAUUUUUUAGACAGAGUUCAGCUCUUUUGCCCAGGCUGGAGCACAGUGGUGGGAUCUCGGCUCACUGCAAACUCCACCUUCCGGUUUCAAGUGAUUCUCCUGCCUCACCCUCCUGAGUAGCUGGGAUUACAGGCGCCCGCCACCGCACCCAGCUAAUUUUUGUAUUUUUAGUUUAGUUUAGUUUAGUUUGAUUUAGUGACAGGGUUUCACCUUGUUGACCAGGCUGUUCUUGAAUUUCUGAGCUCAGGCAAUCCGCCCACUUCGGCCUCCCAAAGUGCUGGGAUUACAGGAGUCAGCCAUCGUGCCCUGCUGUUCUCUAAACGAACAAAUCAAAACCUCACAAACGUCCCCAGCUUUUAUCAAAAAUUAACUUAUCUAAACUACUGUUGAAAUUAAUUAUAGCUUUGGUCUUCACCAAAUCUUGGGUUUAUUGUUUGAUACCUAUCACCGUAAAAUAUCAGGUUCUUUAACAUUUAAUGUAAUUUAAUCGGGUGUUCUCUAGGUGCUGAAUUCUGCCUUUUAGUGAGUACAGAAGUUUUAUUAUUUUAUUAUCUUUGUUUGUAAUUCUGUUAACCCUUUUCUUUCCUCAGAAAAAAGUACUACCAAAUUUAUUUAUCUGCUGUCCCCACAGAAAACUCUUCAUCUCCUGAUUAUAAAAGUUGUUUAUCACUUUUAUGUUAGUAUUUUUCUUGUGUGGCAGACCACAUUACAUCUCCUACUUCAAAGAUGAAUGUACCUGAAUUUUGUAAAAAUUUAAUACCUACCUUUAGGAUUGUUGCAGGAUUAAAUUAGAUAACCCAUGUAAAGGAUUUAGCCAAUGACUGGCACUUAGUACGUAAAAAUGUAUUAAUUGUUGCAAGUUUUAGCAGAGAUGUCCCCUGGCUGAAAGUUUUAAGGGAUGGACUAUAUUGACACCUGUUUCCUUUGCCUGUGCCUAAUUGCUUGGAAUUCUUCCUUCUUAAUCACAUAUUUAGAAUUAUUUUUCCCUAAAAACAUUUCAUUAAAGUUGUUUAUGUUCAGGGAUUUAACAUAAAUGUAGAGAUUGUUGCUUUUGCUGUGUAACUCUUUUUACAAAUUAUUUUAAACAAAGUUAAAAUAAGGUAUAAUUCAUCAUUGAUCUUUUGGUGACCUCAUUUUUUUGCAUGUCUCUGCUCACAGAUAUUUUUACUAACCCCUUCCAUUUCUUUGAAUCCUGGAGUUAGAAAACAGCCCUGAAGAUCAAAGAAUUGUAGAUCAUUGAAUUUUCAACUAUAAAUGAAUUUAGAUAUAGUGGGUUUCUAGAACCUAAGCCAAUUCUUUAUUCAUCUGUGGUAACUAAGCUAUUUUCUCUUUAAAUACUUUUACAAAAGUCCCUUUAAAAGUAUACCUGAAUUAUAUCUCCUAAUUUCCUCUACUUCACAGGGUUUUUCAGUCCUCUUAAAAAUGCUUUCCUGUUAGUAAGUAAUAAUUUCUUCUUAUAUAUUGCAUACUGGCUCUUCUCUAUUAUCUGAUGCUUCCUUUAAAAAAACAGAUCCUUUGCAUUUAAAUACAUUUCCUCUAAUUGCUAUGAAUUGAAGUGAAACAUCCUAGUUAUCUCUAGAUAAUUGUUUAUAGAUAGAUUUGUUUUUGCAACCCAUCAGAACUACAGUCCAGUGAGGAUUUGUAUAAGAACUUAUACAUCAUCAUUUAAAAUAUCUCAAUUUCGCAUUUAAGUGUUACAAACAAUAUUUGAAUGACUAUUAUUUGGACAAAUUAUAUCUGGACAAAUUAUCCAGAUGAUUUGUUUAUGACCUACCUGUUAAAUAAGUCUUGAAUACCCUGCACUGCUGUAACUGUGAUAACUUUAACCCCUUCCCAUGUCUUCAAUGAAUUUCAGAGCAAAGAAGUUCUUAGUUUUAUCAUUAUUGAUUUUUCCACCUUGAGUAUAAUUUUUACAGAUUAGUCAAUGUACGUAAAAUGAUUUUAAAAGAGCCAUAAAUCAAAAAUCUGAGUAUUUGGGCUGGCUCUAUCAUCAUAAUUUACUGUGUGAUUAUAAUAAACCCCCCAAGUUGUUUCUCCUUAUUUAUUCAUUUGUUAAACGAGGAUAAUACUUCUUUUUACUAUAAAGGUUUUGUGAUGUGUGUGUGGGUGUGUUAGCCAGUUCAGGCUGCUAUAACAAAAAUAUGAUAGACGGGUGGCUUAAACAUAGAAAUUUAUUUCUUACAAUGCUGGGUGCUGGGAAGUCCAAAAUAAAGGUGUGGGCAGAUCUGGUUUCUGGUGAGGCCCACUUUCUGAUUUGCGGAGGGCCAUCUUUUCCUUGUAUCCUCACAGGAUGAAGAGCAGCAAGAGAAAGCAAGCUUUCUUGUGGGCUUCUAUAAAGGCAGUAAUCUCAUUCAGAGAGAUCCAUUCUCAUGACCUAAUUACCUCCUAAAGGCCCUGCCUCCUAAUACCAUCACAUGAGAGGUUAGAAUUUUAACAUAACAAUUUUGGGGGGACACACACAUGGCUCUGUGUGUGUGUGUGUGUGUGCACGUGUGCAUGUGAGAGGCUGAAGUUAGACCCUGUAAUUUAUACAUCCAAGGGAAAAGAAGAAAAAUAUUUUAACUGCCUUUCCUGGGCAUGCCUUGUUUGGGGCAUGCUACAUCUAUUAUUCCAUUUUAUAGUAUCAUCACUCACGUUCAUGAAGAAUAUUAUUAGGAAAACUAUCCAAUUCGAAUUUGUAGUUCACUACUUUUUUCUCUAUCUAAUUCUAUGUUUGCCAAUCAGGUUUUGCCAAUCAAAUUCCAAUAUCUUGAUUCUGUUCUUUUCCAUAAUAGCCUGUUCUUGGUUUAGGGAUGUGAUAGCCUCUCUGAUCUCUUGUAGGAUGUCAAUUACAUAUAGAUUUUGAAGUCCCCAUCUGCUCUAGAGACUUUGUUUCUACAGAUGAUAAUACUCCUGACUUUAGAAUUGGGAACCUUGCCUUUAAGGUUUUGGCUUUGCUAAAAUGUUUGUUAUUUUUUGGCUAUGUUCUUGCCUUUGUUCUUGAGUGUUUCUAUUUCUGUAUGGACAUAUCUUGUCUUUACUGGCUGUAAGGAAGGUUAAGGAUUUGUGGGAGGGUAGACUGUGUAAGUAGCUCAUUUUCUGAGCUCACAAUAUUCUGGUUUUGUCUGGGUAUCACCUGUCAAUAGGAUGCAACGUCGUGUUUCCAACCCAAGCAUCAACAGGCACUGGUGACAAAUAUUUCUGCUGUCCUGUCUUGCCACAAAGACAAUAGGAAGACUCCUUUCCCCAAAUCGUUUGCCUGAAUCUUGCUUCUCUUGUUUCUGAAACUGGAGCAGACCUGAAACUGCUUUCAAUAUUUGCAACAGUUUUAAGCUGUGCUUCUCUGGACUGCUUACCCACUUGGUUCUCAAAUGCCCCAGGUGCCACAGCAAAUUCACACGGUACCAUGGGAUAUUUAAGCAAUACAAGAGAAACAGUGGUAUUCACCAUCUGUCAGACACUGCAGGAACUACCAGUGAAACAAUCAACUCACAGUUUCAACAUUAGAUCAUGCUACAUUCCUUUGGAUGAUACCAUAUUUUUGUGAAGCUGAUAUUUUAGAGGUUGCUGUGAUUAAAAAAAGUAUCAUGUGAAAGUCAAUUUGAAACAAGAAAUAAGGAUGACAAUGUCAACUUCCAAGAUUCGAAAAGAUGUGUACACAUCCUACUAGUAAAUAUUUGUGGUUAUUUAAGAAUGAAUAUUUUUCUUUCAAUCAUAUGUAUUACCUUUUUAAGUGGCUACGAAGCUUUUAAGACACAAAUACUUAUUAAGUUGUUUGUAUCUAAUUACUUAAUAAAUGGAACUGUUAGGUAUUUCUUUUAGCCCCAAGGCAUGAUUUAAAAAAUUACUAAGACACUAAGGGUGGUAUAAACAAACAGGGUUUGGGAACCUCUGGCUUUAACCUUUUUCACUGAGGUUUCCCAACCAAGUGCUCU
rnacentral:lncRNA from 1 species